ACGUAUGGGGCAAACGUUGUUCGGAUUUACUGGGCGUAAAGAGUACGUAGGCUGUCAAGAAAGUCAAUAAUUAAAUUCCGUAGCUCAACUAUGUGGUCGUUAUUGAUACUUCUUGACUAGAGUUUUAUAGAGGUAGCAGGAAUUCCUGGUGUAGGGGUGAAAUCUGUUGAUAUCAGGAGGAACACCAAAGGCGAAGGCAAGCUACUGGGUAAAAACUGACGCUGAGGUACGAAAGCUAGGGGAGCGAAUGGGAUUAGAGACCCCAGUAGUCCUAGCUGUAAACGUUGUACACUAGUUUUUCGGUAAGCGUACGCGCUUAUUGAGAAACUGAGCUAACGCAUUAAGUGUACCGCCUGGGUAGUAUGCGCGCAAGCGUG
rnacentral:rRNA from 1 species